GGGCAGACGUCAGCGGCCGGGCUGCGGGGAGGCCUCCUGCCUCCCAUCCGGGCUUAGGCUAACUACGAGGCAGGAGCGGACAGAGGACCCGAGGGUCUCAGGCAGUGACGAUGCCUACGGAGAACCCCCAGGAAGCGGGCACGACGAGAGGUGCUGGGUACCACCAGGAGGAAUCGGCUUGGAGGAGUCUACCCUCAGGAGAGGCAAGGCCAUCGAGGGGAUGAGCUUCAUGUUCUAUCGAGGUAUAACUGAUGUAUAACGUCAUGUUAGUUUCGGGUGCACACGCGAUGAUUCAUUAUUUGUGAACUCCGGCAGGAUCGCCAGUGUCCAGUUACUACCCAGCUGCUCACUUUCUCGUUCCUGAGCCUUGGCUCGGAAUUCCCAUGUGAUUACCCUGAUUCCAGCCACGCAGGAUGGAAAUCACUCAGGUGGGAGACUCUGUCCUCCCCAGCGGGGAUCCUGAGAGGUGCCACGUGGGCCGGGGUGUGAGUGCGUGUGAGUGUGUAAUGAUGGGUGUGAGCGUGUGAAUGACUGUGUGAGUGUGUACUCGUACACACACGAACGUGCGCAAGCUGAGGCCGGGCCCCCCUUGCAGCAUUGCUGCGAUUCCAGGGAUGCUGGUGAGUCAUGUGUGAAGGGAGGCUGCAUGCCUGGUGCAGCCCGGGAGCCUGCUUCACCUCCCGUGUCACUGCUGGUCGUGUUCUCACCUCUGUCAGGUUGGCAUUUGUCCUGGGUGGGAGUCCACACGCAGCCUCAGCCCCCUGGACUUGGCGGGAAGGCACUGGCCUUGGGUGUGGACGGAAACUCUUCGGCUUGGACACCUGUCAAAUGAUCUUUCAAACACAGGUGCACAUCGUCACGGCUAACAAAUGCAAAGUAAUUUUUUAAAUCCCUUAAUUCACAGUGACUUUGGAAAUCAUGAAUGUUCUGCUAAGGAUACAAGUUCUAUUAUGUGUGUGUGGAGAUACAAUGGGGGACACUGAAAAGUGGUUAACCCAUAUUCUCAACAUGUGGGUGCCCAACGCACCCCCGCACCGCACCCCACAGGUUGAAGUUCCGGGAACCUGGCCCGCCUCCCUCUGGUUGAUUCAAAUGAGGCGGGGAGGGGAGGGGGCGGAGACGGGAGCGCUCACAAUCCAGCGGCCUUGCCGGCUGUCCCGAGCCGGCGGCCCCUCCCUCGUCAGGGCCCCAGGAGCGCAGCCCACGGUCAUCCCCCAGGAGGAAGGGCCGGCAGGGGCCUGACGCUGGGCCUGCUGCCCCGCCUCAGAGGACGGAGCAAAGCCCCUCACGCAGGCCUUUUGGGCAAAGAGGUGAUGCGGGAGGACUGGUCCCAGUCCUUCCUCCGCGGCCCUGAUCCCCACUCUGCCUCGGUAACAGCACCAAACACGUUUCCGGGCCCUUAAAGCAGACCCGCCGGAGGCGGCCGCCCUGCCAGGGCCUCGGGCAGCCCUCGGCGGCACCCAGAGCGGGGCGCCGUCUUUGACGCACAGCUGGUGAGUCUUCCUGAGUGUUCGCGCCCAGGUAAUGGCCCCCCGGUCAACACAGAGCACCCCGACCGCUGCCCCUCAGCCCCGCUCAGCUGGCGGCUCGGGCCCACGUACGGAGGGGCCCCCGCGGCUGGAGGAGGGGGGCCCUGGCCCUGGGCAGCGCCCCGCCCUUAGAGACACGGCCCUCUUGGGUGACCAGCUCGGCCGAGGAGCUCCGCGGCCCGCAGCCAAGUCUGGAUGGGGCUGGGGGGCUGCGGGCGAGUGCUGGCGGCCUCUCGCGCUCGUGGGCCUCAGGGCGACCACCUGUGCGGGCAGAGCCCUCCAGCGCACGCCCACGCUGCUCCGUCCAUCUGCCGGGUGUGCAGACCCCCGCCCUGCGCCGACCCAAGAAGGCCUGCCGCGCCCCGGGGCUGCCAGAGACCCCCUCGCCGCGCCUGCGGGACCUGUAGGUUUCCCAGCUGCACUUGUACAUC